GAAACGGCUCUUUUUAGAGCCACAUUCACAAACUGAUGCUACUGCU
rfam:Oreochromis niloticus linkage group LG2, whole genome shotgun sequence.